UCGUGGCUCAGGACGAACGCUGGCGGCGUGCUUAACACAUGCAAGUCGAACGAUGAACCGGUUUCGGCCGGGGAUUAGUGGCGAACGGGUGAGUAACACGUGGGCAAUCUGCCCUGCACUCUGGGACAAGCCCUGGAAACGGGGUCUAAUACCGGAUACUGACCGACACGGGCAUCCGUGACGGUCGAAAGCUCCGGCGGUGCAGGAUGAGCCCGCGGCCUAUCAGCUUGUUGGUGAGGUAGUGGCUCACCAAGGCGACGACGGGUAGCCGGCCUGAGAGGGCGACCGGCCACACUGGGACUGAGACACGGCCCAGACUCCUACGGGAGGCAGCAGUGGGGAAUAUUGCACAAUGGGCGAAAGCCUGAUGCAGCGACGCCGCGUGAGGGAUGACGGCCUUCGGGUUGUAAACCUCUUUCAGCAGGGAAGAAGCGAAAGUGACGGUACCUGCAGAAGAAGCGCCGGCUAACUACGUGCCAGCAGCCGCGGUAAUACGUAGGGCGCAAGCGUUGUCCGGAAUUAUUGGGCGUAAAGAGCUCGUAGGCGGCUUGUCACGUCGGUUGUGAAAGCCCGGGGCUUAACCCCGGGUCUGCAGUCGAUACGGGCAGGCUAGAGUUCGGUAGGGGAGAUCGGAAUUCCUGGUGUAGCGGUGAAAUGCGCAGAUAUCAGGAGGAACACCGGUGGCGAAGGCGGAUCUCUGGGCCGAUACUGACGCUGAGGAGCGAAAGCGUGGGGAGCGAACAGGAUUAGAUACCCUGGUAGUCCACGCCGUAAACGGUGGGCACUAGGUGUGGGCAACAUUCCACGUUGUCCGUGCCGCAGCUAACGCAUUAAGUGCCCCGCCUGGGGAGUACG
rnacentral:rRNA from 1 species